rnacentral:rRNA from 1 species
CCUACGGGAGGCAGCAGUAGGGAAUCUUCCGCAAUGGACGAAAGUCUGACGGAGCAACGCCGCGUGAACGAUGAAGGCCUUCGGGUCGUAAAGUUCUGUUGUUAGGGAAGAACAAGUGCUAGUUGAAUAAGCUGGCACCUUGACGGUACCUAACCAGAAAGCCACGGCUAACUACGUGCCAGCAGCCGCGGUAAUACGUAGGUGGCAAGCGUUGUCCGGAAUUAUUGGGCGUAAAGCGCGCGCAGGCGGUUUCUUAAGUCUGAUGUGAAAGCCCCCGGCUCAACCGGGGAGGGUCAUUGGAAACUGGGAAACUUGAGUGCAGAAGAGGAAAGUGGAAUUCCAAGUGUAGCGGUGAAAUGCGUAGAGAUUUGGAGGAACACUAGUGGCGAAGGCGACUUUCUGGUCUGUAACUGACGCUGAGGCGCGAAAGCGUGGGGAGCAAACAGGAUUAGAUACCCUGGUAGUCCACGCUGUAAACGAUGAGUGNUAGUAGUUAGUAGGUUCCGGUCCGUUACGUGUCGUGUAAGUUAACGUACUAUUAAGUACACUCCGCCGUCGGGAGGUACGGUCGCGAGGACGUAGUAACGUACGAAAGUUAAAGUUAGUAGAGNGUGAGAGCGACGACGACGACGACGGAGGAGGAG